rnacentral:rRNA from 1 species
AACGAACGCUGGCGGCAUGCCUAACACAUGCAAGUCGAACGAGACCUUCGGGUCUAGUGGCGCACGGGUGCGUAACGCGUGGGAACCUGCCCUUAGGUUCGGAAUAACUCCCCGAAAGGGGUGCUAAUACCGGAUAAUGUCUUCGGACCAAAGAUUUAUCGCCUUUGGAUGGGCCCGCGUUGGAUUAGCUAGUUGGUAGGGUAAAAGCCUACCAAGGCGACGAUCCAUAGCUGGUCUGAGAGGAUGAUCAGCCACACUGGGACUGAGACACGGCCCAGACUCCUACGGGAGGCAGCAGUGGGGAAUAUUGGACAAUGGGCGAAAGCCUGACGCAGCAAUGCCGCGUGAGUGAUGAAGGUCUUAGGGUUGUAAAGCUCUUUUACCCGGGAUGAUAAUGACAGUACCGGGAGAAUAAGCUCCGGCUAACUCCGUG